AUGUGUGUAUAUGCAUACAUGGAAAUGGACAGCUUUGGAUUUCUUGAGCAUGUUUAUGUCUUAUUAAUAAAUAUAUAUAUAUAUGAUAUGUGUUUGCGUGUUCGUGUUCUCGGCAGCCAGUCAGUUUCGUUUUCAGUGGGUGCUGGUCUCCGCCAGGGCUGCGCCUUGUCACCAAUCCUGUUUGUGAUAUACAUGGACAGGAUAUCGAGGCGUAGUCGUGGUGGGGAGGGGUUGCAGUUCGGUGGUCUGAGGAUCUCGUCACUGCUUUUUGCAGAUGAUGUGGUCCUCAUUGGAUCAUCGGCCUGUGACCUUCAGCACUCACUGGAUCGGCUGGCGGCCGAGUGUGAAGCGGCUGGGAUAAGGAUCAGCACCGCUAAAUCUGAGGCCAUGACUCUUAGCAGGAAACCGGUGGAUUGCUUACUCCGGGUAGGAAAUGAGUCCUUAGCCCAAGUGAAGGAGUUCAAGUACCUCGGGGUCUUGUUCGCGAGUGAGGGUACUAUGGAGCGUGAGAUUGGCCGGAGAAUCGGAGCAGCGGGGGCGGUAUUGCGUUCGCUUUACCGCACCGUUGUAACGAAAAGAGAGCUGAGCCGCAAGGCAAAGCUCUCGAUCUACCGGUCGAUCUUCGUUCCUAUCCUCACCUAUGGUCAUGAGGGCUGGGUGAUGACCGAAAGGACGAGAUCGCGGGUACAAGCGGCCGAGAUGAGUUUUCUCAGAAGGGUGGCUGGCGUCUCCCUUAGGGAUAGGGUGAGAAGCUCAGCCAUCCGUGAGGAACUCGGAUUAGAGCCGCUGCUCCUUUACUUAGAAAGGAGUCAGCUGAGGUGGUUCGGGCAUCUGGUAAGGAUGCCCACUGGGCGCCUUCCUUGGGAGGUGUUUCAGGCUCGUCCAGUGGGGAGGAGACCUCGGGGUAGACCCAGGACUAGGUGGAGAGAUUAUAUCUCAACACUGGCCUGGGAACGCCUUGGGAUCCACCCGUCAGAGCUGGUCAAUGUGGCCCGGGAAAGGGAAGUCUGGGGCCCCCUGCUUGAGCUGCUCCCCCCGCGACCCGACCCCGGAUAA
rnacentral:lncRNA from 1 species